GUGUGAAACCCCAAGUUUAAGAAAUUUGCAUAGAGUUAAGUUAAAAAGACACAUUGGGACCCCCCAGGGAUUUCUUCAAGCAUCAGAUCAAAUUUUUGUUAAGCCACAAACAAUGCCAAUAUGCCAAGCCAAUAUUUCCACUGGAACAGAUGAAAUCCUCAGAUUCAGGAUUUGCAGAAGUACCAGAGUUCAAAAAACAAAGACUGACAUAUGAAAGAGUCCCUGGAAGAAGUGAUGGACAAACACGUCUUAAAUUCUUUUGAAUGGGAUAGAAUGGGGAUUUGUAUACUACACACACUUUUUAAAAUUCUUAGUCUUUGA
rnacentral:lncRNA from 14 species